ACGCUGGCCACUCGGCGCCAGGCGGAGGCGGCGCUGGCGGCUGGCGCCACCAUCGGAGGCCACCGCCUCGCCGUGGGCUGGCCGGCCCCGGCCCCGACGCUCGCCGCCGGCGUCCAGACGAAUCCAGCAGAGGUGGGGUCGGAAGCGGACAACGAAGCGGGCACACAACUCCGAUCACGACAAUUUGGAGGAAGGAGGCGACGAACGGCCCUGGCGUCGCUAGUCGGGCGGCGCGCGGAACGGUCCUGCACUCCUGACGCGCGACAGACGAUAGCUCGGCCAGCAGUCUUCCAAUCAUCAGACGCGGAGUGGCGGGCUCUGCGCCGCGAGGGCCUCUUCGGAGAAUCGCACGUGCUUGAUGUGCGCCGGAUAUUUGCCAGCUAGGCCCAAAUACAUUGCGUCAGUCGGACGGCGCGUCUGCGGUCCUGGAUCUCAUAUAUGGAAAUACCACCGAACUGUGGAUUAACGAGUGGCCCUUAUCACCAAAUUGUCGUCGGACGGCAGCUGUACAGUGGAUCCCGCAAUAUUCAUCAUAAUCUGGCAGCUGCACUGCAACGGUAGUGCCAACUUAACUAUGUACAGGGUUUGUAAAUCAAAUCUAGUCUCCUGUCCGUAGUCUGCGGGGCGGUCGCUGGUGUGUUUUGUACCGCCCGGCGUGUGCUGUGUUGUGGGUUUCUUCACCGUUGGCCGCUGAGCAGCGCGUCCAGCCUGAUUUGCCGUGCUAAUGUUGUAUGGUUUGACAUGCUCGUCUUUACGCAGCAAUACUAACGUGCCGAAAAUCGUCCACUGAAUAGAGUUAUGGAUUUU